UACGGGGGGGGCAAGCGUUGUUCGGAAUUACUGGGCGUAAAGGGCUCGUAGGUGGCCAACUAAGUCAGACGUGAAAUCCCUCAGCUUAACUGGGGAACUGCGUCUGAUACUGGAUGGCUUGAGUUUGGGAGAGGGAUGCGGAAUUCCAGGUGUAGCGGUGAAAUGCGUAGAUAUCUGGAGGAACACCGGUGGCGAAGGCGGCUUCCUGGACCGGUUCUGACACUGAGGAGCGAAAGCGUGGGGAGCGAUCCGG
rnacentral:rRNA from 1 species